rnacentral:lncRNA from 1 species
CAAAUCUAACCCGCAGAUUUAGUUUAUUUGAUAUGAACGAGUCCAACCAGCUUAAAUAUGAAGGAAAAGAUAAGAGAAAAUUUCUGCAGUUGAAAGUAAACAAGAUGUCAAGAUCCAAAGACCAAAAGUAUGUUGCAUUUAUGGUAAAUAAAAACGGGUAACGAACCUGAGCAAUUCAAGGAAUAAUGGAAUAAGGACGGAUCUUCAGAAGGCAAAUAGAGAGAGAGAACUUGGGAGGGCGCAAACUGAGAUGGUAAAAACCAUACAGAAAGAGUCAACUCAACCCCAGAAAAGGGUAUCCCUUAGAAAUAGGAAUGGUGAGGUGGUUGCUUAGGAGAGUUUUGGUGGAAUAUUACUUGGAUCCACUCAUAUGCAAUCGAAUCAAGAAACCGGGAAAUUUGGGUUCCUAUUAAUCCCCCUCCUUUUGUUUUUUUAAUCUAUAGUUUUGUGCAUUGUUUUUUU